ensembl:lncRNA
CUGUAACGAGUCCUUUGGGGUGUUGAACACACUACCACCAUCUGUCUGAACGUGUGUGUGUGUGUGUGUGUGUGUGUGUGUGUGUGUGGUGUGUGUGUGUGUGUGUGUUCAAUCACCAGACAAACGACACACUGCUAAACCCUCUGUAUAUAUUUCAACACAUGUCUUGUGUGUGUGUGUGUGUGUGUGUGUGUGUGUGUGUGUGUGUGUUUUAAUCCAUCCUGUUGUUGCUUCUCUUCGGAAUAUUUAACACCAGACAUGGUCAGCAAAAAUGUCACAUUGCGACGAGUCGCUUUCACGUCGCGAUUCAGUCUCCAGUCGAGUCGCGAUUCAGUCGAGUCACUUUCACGUCGCGAUUCAGUCUCCAGUCGAGUCGCGAUUCAGUCGAGUCGCUUUCACGUCGCGAUUCAGUCUCCAGUCGACUCGCGAUUCAGUCGAGUUGCUUUCACGUCGCGAUUCAGUCGAGUCGUUUUUCUCACACCAAUCGAUUUGAAUCGCUUUCUCACUGGCAUUAACUUGGAACUCGAAUAAGACCAUCUCGUCGCUGAGACACUCGCGGACCCCGGGCGCGAUUUCUGUGUUUUCACCAGGAUACAGAACCGCACCGAGGGGGAACACACGAGGGUUCUGUUCAAACAGACUGACGAGCAGAAUAGCAGCACCACUAAUCCCCACUAAUCCCCACUUGAAACGAUUUUUGGUCUGAAAGCAGAUAAGCGCACGUCCACUUCCCCGCCGCGAGUAAAGGCGUAAAUUCCCUGAGGAUCUUAUCUGUUCCUGGGGAAGUGUUUAGGUGGUGUGUGUGUGUGUGUGUGUGUGUGUGUGUGUGAGAUCUAAGACAGAAUUGUGUUAUCCUCGCCGUGGCUGGGGUUUUCUACACGGCCGUCGUCGUAAUUUGGGAGAACGGGGGAAAUGGCGAAAUCUCAGUGAACAGAACAGUGUGAGUAUAAUUGGACUGCAGGGAGGGAGUGUGUGUGUGUGUGUGUGUGUGUGUGUGUGUGUGUGUGUGUGAACAGUAUUACAAAGAGCCACGCCUACAUCAACUUCCCAGCGUCCUUCGGGAAGGUUAAAGAUCCCAGGCUUUGCUGCUGGUGUUCCUGAGGCGAGAAGGUCACCUCGCCGUGACGAGGCGUUACAGUUGGACGUUCUCGCGUCGUGACCGUGUGGUGUGACGUGGAAAUGUUUUAUCAUCACUGCUUUUAUUGUUUUAGCUGCAAUAAAUCCUCCGCUCUGCAUGCCUCCUGCGUUUUACAGCCGCGCUCUUAUCACGCCGAGGUGGAACCCUGGCCGAGGUUUACACGGCACGUCUUCUCGAGCAGAAACGGGCCAGUGACUCACGUCGUCCUCGGCCGCGUACGCAGAUUACAGAACUGACCUUUCCGGCGCAGGAGACUGGGUUCUGUGUGAACAGCGUCUCGGGUUGCUCCCGAGAGGAGGUUUCGGUGUGAGGAACGUCCGUUGAAGUCGUCUCGGUGGUGUCACGUUCGCUCUUUAAUAAAAGAGUAAGAAGUCGUCGCUGGUGUGUGGCGUCACGUGUUUUUUACGAAUUCCUUUCCUGGUUGAACUCGAGGUUGAGUUAAGGAUGCAGGUUUAGAUGAGUCCUCGCUUCUCCCCGAUGCUGCAGGAGAGCCGUGGGUCUGGGAGAAGACAGGUUUCUCCGAGCAGCUUCUCUAGCCCGCGGCGAGACACCUGCCUGGUGCGCCAGUGCCAGAAAAAUCCUGCCAACAGAAUCCGUCCCUGGGUUUUACGUGCAGAUCUGAUCGCUCGCAACAGCGCAGAUUCAUGCCUUUUAGGCUUUAUUACACGUUUGUGUUCUACUUUCUUCAUCAGAUCAGUUAAGCGCAUCGGCCAGUGGGACGGAACCUCCGUGGGCGAGGUCCUCGUAACGAAAGCGUGUGGACGGGGUCGGCUGAUCUCCGCUGGUUUCUCACGUGUUCCUCGCCACGAGGAACGUUUUGGCAGCAGAUCUGGUGUUUCACCAAGCCCGGGGUUUAACGCGCUGAGCUAAGCCGCGGUUCUGCGAAGCGCAGGAGGUCCGCAGUUCUCGGAUUCUGUUCCGUUGGUUCUUUUAUCAAAGUUUUUACGCCUGGAAUCCACCGAAUCGUUUUAUUUUUAACUCUAAAUACUACGCUGGAGGAAAAUCCAGAAAUAAAUCAAACGCUCCGUAAUGUUCUUGUUCUCACUUGAACGGCUAAUAUCGUGAAUAAAUUGGGAAUCGAUAAUCCAGAGCUUGUAGAAGCAGGGUUGUAGAAGAGUUUGUAACUCUCAGACUCCUGACCCGAGUCCCGGACGUCAGACCUUCUGAAGACUGAUAUUUUCUGUUCAUGAGCUUGUUGGAGCGUCGAGGAUAUCGGGUUUGUUUGAGUUGGAAGUCUUUUUUUUUUUUUUUUUUUUUUUUCCCCUCUUGGCUCUCGUAGCGUGUGCGAUGUUUGCACCCCGGCGCUUGGAUUUUGAAGGACCUGGCGUAUUUUUGGCUUUAGCGAGACUUGGCAAAUAUCUGGUGUUCGUCUAGACAAUGUAAUCUCCGAGCUGUCUCACACACACACACACGCACACACACACGCACACACGGGCACUGAGCAGCUGUUUUGUUUUGAUUCCCCAGCUGUGUAAUGAGAUUUAUCUUCUCCGCGUGCGGUCUGAUUAGCGUCGGCGCUGUCGCACGUCGAACACGGCUCCGUAUCAGCUUGUUGAACACCAGAGGAACGACCGCGUAGAGGAAUUUCCUGGCAGCGCUCCAGAGCUCCUGUCCUCCUCUUCUUGAGUAGAAAAGCAGCGAGUGCGUUUUCGCCGAGUGAGUGCUCGCCCCGCUGUGUCCGAUCCCAAUCCGGAUCUUCUCCCGGUUUGUAUUUCAGCGUCCAGGCUUUAACAAAGAGAAGCGCUCGUGUUGCCCGCGAGGCGAGGCGGCGAGGCGAGGCAGGCGCCUACGUAAUCUCUCCUUUUCUAAUCUUUCCAAGGGAAAGAACCGGGACUCUUUUUGGGAUUACGAAACAAUGAAGUCUUUCAGGAGGUGUAACUCGAGGAGAGACGAGACCUCAGCAGCACCUGGUCGGCGUGAUCACCUGGUCAACAGGUCACGCUGCAGAGUGAAGAAUCCCGGUGUUCUCCUCCUAGCAGAACCCGUAAACCCUUCAACAAACCUAGAACCACGGUUCAGAAUCUCGAGUUUUUCAAUAAAGUUGUCGUACCGUUGCGCCACAACGUUCCAGUCCGGAAUGUUCUGAAGAUCUCAGAGAGGAAUGCUAACGGCGUUACCUCCUCUAUACAUCAGACUACAGGAAGAAGAGGAACGCUGCUCUCAGGGCGGUUCUCCUCAUCGGGCGUUCCUCCGUUGUGCUGAAGAGCCGCAGAACCUCGCGGCAGGGUGACGUGCAGCCGUGUGCUGCUUCACGGAACCCAGUACUGGGGAAAUGUUCCGGCCGGUGAAUCGGACCCGUGAUUAGCAGUGAGCAAGGAGGAGCUGCGGGAAGAGAAAGACGGAGGACGGAAUUGAUAGCUACCUCGCUAAGUUAGCGCACGAUUAAUCAUCAGUAUUAUUCUCACGAGCACCCGGGCGGGACUGAGAACCUUAACGACAGGCGGGAAACCGAAACUCCGUUAGCGUCGUCACCGUCUCCAUAAAAACACCAGCUAGCUAAAACACCUGGAGGACAAAUAAAACGCCCUGCUUAUAUAGUCUUAAAUCAACUCUGUUUUGUCUUUAGUGGGCGUGGCUUUACUUGAUAGAGAAAUACAUAUUUCUGUAGUUAUGAUUAAAUAAAUUAGUUUCGAGUGGUCCAGUGUUCUGAUCUGAAUGCUAAUCAAAGGCCCGUAGAGGCUAGUUCUGGCGAACGCGGGCGGGAGCGUGCGUGGUGUUACUGCGUGGUGGAUCGUGUGCGGUUCCUCGUGCUGAGAGACGAGGGUGAGGACGGGGAUCACGUACCAUCUGGUUUAGAGCGGGCUGCGGUGUCGCUGUGAUGAUGAAGGAGAAUUAAUCAUAGAGAGCAUGACGGAGACAUGAGCGCUCGGCCCUGCGCUGCGCUUUCAUAAAGGAUCUGGAGUUAAGUGAAACAUCAGGUACGUGACGUCUGAAUCUAAUAACUCGCCUCCGUGAAGGAUGUGAUGAAGGCAGGGUUUGAUUAAAACUGGAGAUUUUAUAUUAAACAUGAGCAGCACCAUCGGUCAUCAUUGAACGGGGCGGAGUGACUGACGCGACUCAAGACUGAAGAGGGGCGGAGUGACGGAUGAGGGGCGGAGUGACGGACGUGACUCAAGACCGAUGAGGGGCGGAGUGACAGAUGAGGGGCGGAGUGACGGACGCGACCCGGGACUGAAGAAGGGCGAGUGACGGAUGAGGGGCGGAGUGACGGACGUGACUCAAGACUGAAGAGGGGCGGAGUGACGGACGCGACCCGGGACUGAUGGGGGUGGAGUGACGGACGCGACCCGGGACUGAAGAGGGGCGGAUGACGGACGCGACUCAAGACUGAAGAAGGGCGGAGUGACGGACGCUGAAGAGGGGCGGAGUGACGGACGCGACUCAAGACUGAAGAGGGGCAGGGUUACGGACGCGACCUGGGACUGAUGGGGGCGGAGUGACGGACGCGACCUGGGACUGAAGAGGGGCGGAGUGACGGGUGAGGGGCGGAGUGACGGACGCGACCCGGGACUGAAGGGGGCGGAGUGACG